AGUCCAGACUCCUACGGGAGGCAGCAGUGGGGAAUAUUGCACAAUGGGGGGAACCCUGAUGCAGCGACGCCGCGUGAGCGAAGAAGUAUCUCGGUAUGUAAAGCUCUAUCAGCAGGGAAGAAAAUGACGGUACCUGACUAAGAAGCUCCGGCUAAAUACGUGCCAGCAGCCGCGGUAAUACGUAUGGAGCAAGCGUUAUCCGGAUUUACUGGGUGUAAAGGGAGCGCAGGCGGCGCGCCAAGUCUGGUGUGAAACCCCGGGGCUCAACCCCGGGACUGCAUUGGAAACUGUGCAGCUAGAGUGCAGGAGAGGUAAGUGGAAUUCCUAGUGUAGCGGUGAAAUGCGUAGAUAUUAGGAGGAACACCAGUGGCGAAGGCGGCUUACUGGACUGUAACUGACGUUGAGGCUCGAAAGCGUGGGGAGCAAACAGGAUUAGAUACCCUUGUAGG
rnacentral:rRNA from 1 species